rnacentral:rRNA from 1 species
GACGAACGCUGGCGGCGUGCUUAACACAUGCAAGUCGAACGGAAGGGCCCUGCUUUUGUGGGGUGCUCGAGUGGCGAACGGGUGAGUAACACGUGAGUAACCUGCCCUUGACUUUGGGAUAACUUCAGGAAACUGGGGCUAAUACCGGAUAGGAGCUCCUGCUGCAUGGUGGGGGUUGGAAAGUUUCGGCGGUUGGGGAUGGACUCGCGGCUUAUCAGCUUGUUGGUGGGGUAGUGGCUUACCAAGGCUUUGACGGGUAGCCGGCCUGAGAGGGUGACCGGCCACAUUGGGACUGAGAUACGGCCCAGACUCCUACGGGAGGCAGCAGUGGGGAAUAUUGCACAAUGGGCGGAAGCCUGAUGCAGUAACGCCGCGUGCGGGAUGACGGCCUUCGGGUUGUAAACCGCUUUCGCCUGUGACGAAGCGUGAGUGACGGUAAUGGGUAAAGAAGCACCGGCUAACUACGUG